ACCCGUCGGCACCAGGCACCGAGGACCCAGGGCAAGCAGGACAGUGGGUCCCGAGGCUGGGCGUGGGGCACUCCUGGACUCUGGCUCAGGUCCCACUGCCACCAACAAGCCCGUGACCCCAGUCAGGUCCAGGCCAGAGCAGGCGGGUGGCCUUAAGCAGGACGACUGUCAGAAUCACCAGGGGAAUGUGGAGAAGUCCGGAUCCCCAGGCUGGGGCCCUGGGAUCACCUGUCCACACCAGCUCCACACAGCAGACACAGUGAUGUCCCACACCAAUUAGACCAGAAUGGUAAGAAUCGAACCCAGUGCCUCACCCUGCCAGGCAGGCGCUCUACCACUGAGCCACGACCCGGCCCCAACGCCUCAGUACUUCUUGUGAAGAUUCCCCAAACAUGACAAUGUCCACAAAGUUUAGGAACCAGGACCUGCCCAGGGCCCUCAGCCACAGCUGGGCCCGCCCCCAGCGGCAGGCUUCACGGAGUCUCCGCUUUACAGGUGCAUCGAGUGUGGAAUCUCUGCCUUCUGCUGGGAUUGCCACAAGGUGGUCGCACAUGCACACACCGAGGUGGGCAGCGUCUCGGGCAGCAAGGUGUCCACUGUGUCCACCGGGGACCAGCCAUGCUCACGGGCACAGGGCUGUUUCCAAUCUUUGGGAAGCUGUUUCUUUCUACCGCUUCUCCCUUGGGACUGAGGGUCACCAGCCAGGAAGAAGGUGUCUUGGGUGGCUAGACCUGCAGGUGUGGAACCUGCGUCUACAGCACGGCCACCGUCUUCCCUUCCAUCUUGACUGUCCGCGCAUCUCCCAGACCAUGACGCCAGUCUUGAGGACGGGCACCAUUGUGUGCCACUGGCUUGCCCAGAACCCAGAACACAGUAGGUUUU
rnacentral:lncRNA from 1 species